rnacentral:rRNA from 1 species
UACAGAGGUGGCAAGCGUUGUUCGGAAUUACUGGGCGUAAAGGGCGCGUAGGCGGCCCGCUAAGUCGAACGUGAAAUCCCCGAGCUCAACUCGGGAACUGCGUCCGAUACUGGCGGGCUUGAAUCCGGGAGAGGGAUGCGGAAUUCCAGGUGUAGCGGUGAAAUGCGUAGAUAUCUGGAGGAACACCGGUGGCGAAGGCGGCAGCCUGGACCGGCAUUGACGCUGAGGCGCGAAAGCGAGGGGAGCAAACGGG